rnacentral:rRNA from 1 species
AUUGAACGCUGGCGGCAGGCCUAACACAUGCAAGUCGAGCGAGCGGCGGACGGGUGAGUAAUGUCUGGGAAACUGCCUGAUGGAGGUGGAUAACUACUGGAAACGGUAGCUAAUACCGCCUACCAUCAGCUGUGCCCAGAUGGGGUGAGCUAGUAGGUGGGGUAACGGCUCACCUUGGCGACGAUCCCUAGCUGGUCUGAGAGGAUGACCAGCCACACUGGAACUGAGACACGGUCCAGACUCCUAAGGGGGGCAGCAGUGGGGAAUAUUGCACAAUGGGCGAAAGCCUGAGGCAGCCAUGCCGCGUGUGUGAAGAAGGCCUUCGGGUUGUAAAGCACUUUCAGCGGGGAGGCGGUACCCGAAGAAGAAGCACCGGCUAACUCCGUGCCAGCAGCCGCGGUAAUUC